GCGGCGGCGCGGGAGGCAGCUGGGGGCGCUGCGGGCUCGGCCCGGCCCGGCCUGAGCGGAGUCCUUAGAGAGAACGGUCCAGGGAGCGCGUCGUGAUGAGGCUGGGGCAGGCGGGGGCCUCCUCCUUCCACCUGUUUCCCUGUGUUCGGCCGUGUGUCCCGCACGGUACACCGGUGAAAAGAGGCGCCAGGUAUAUAGACAGAGACCUAGAGUGUGGAGCAGUGAUGGCGAGAGGAAAUACCUUGUAUUGCUUAAGUGCACUUACUGCCCUUCACCUCAGGCCUUGAACUUCCGUGGUGAUGUUGAGUGCUGUCAUUGCUACCCACAUGUGGCUCCCGACCUCUUGAAAUGUGGCUAGUCCAAAUCGAGAUGAACUGUAAGUUGUAAAAUGCACACUGAUUUCAAAGACGGGUUGCCAAGCAAAAAAAAAAAAAAAAAAAAAA